AAAAUUCCUUGAUUACAACCAUUACAGAUUAUUUUGUUCCUUCUCCACUCCCACUGGUUCACUUGACUAGACU
rnacentral:scRNA from 1 species